GCCUGCCGGCCUCCUUCGCCCCGCCCCGUCCGCGCAGCUCGUCCGGCCCGCCCGCAGGCCAGCUUCUCUCGGGAGCCUCCACCCAGGCGCAUGGCUCCAUGAAGCAAGAGGAGGAGGCAGAGCGCGAGAGAUCCCGUCCGCCCCAGCCGCGUCUGGGCCAGGAGAAAAGCAAAACCAUAUUCCUGCUGCUGUCAGUUUUGAUGCACUGAGAAAACUUCAGAGACCUAAGCUUUUUCCAGAGAAGAGAAGCUUUACUGGUGUUCCAGCCCUAAGGCUCAUAUGACAUUAACAGACAAGACACUUUUCAGAAAGACAGGUUGUUCUUUUGGGCCACAUCUAAGAAAUCUUUGUCUAGCCAAAAGCCACAAAUAAUUUCUCAUUUUUUGGCUUCUGGAAGAUGUACAGUUAAAUGUUAUAUUUGGGACUGUUAUCUAAUUUGAUUAAAUUGCACUCUACAAUAUGAUAUUUGAAUUGAUGAAAAAUUAGUAAAUGUUAAUAUUUUUUAAAGUAGCCAAAUCUUGCAAUUUAUAUAUAAUAGAGAAGACUAGAAAAUCCCCCAUAUUUAUUUCCUCUUACUUCGUACUACUAAAAUUUGUAUUUAGGCAUUUGGUUUCUCAGAUAAACAUUACAUUCCCCAGUAUAUGGUUCUAUCUGGCUUGGUGACGACAUGUUGAACAUUAAGAUGUGAGCAGAAGUAAUACAUACACACUCUUUUUAAUGUCUUUAAUUGAAUGGGAUAUUGGCCCAUUUUUUCUUCCAGUUUAUUACACUGAAUAUUGACAUGUUAUUUUCCAAUAUUGAGACAAUCAAUGACAAGACUUUAAGAGUAACAAUGUAAAAAUUAUAGAAGUUGUCUGAGUUUAUCAACAAUCCCCUGGAUUAGAACCCCCUACCAGUUCUAGGUCAUCUAAUAUAUAGACAUUGUGUUCAGUAGAAAUAAAUAUAUAUAUUUUUUAAUAUACUUUAAGUUCUAGGAUACAUGUGCACAACAUGCAGGUUUGUUACAUUGGUAUACACAUGCCAUGUUGGUUUGCUGCACCCAUUAACUCAUCAUUUACAUUAGUUAUUUCUCCUAAUGCUAUCCCUCCCCCUGCCCCCCACCCCCCGACAGGCCCUGGGGUGUGAUGUUCCCCACCCUGUGUCCAAGUGUUCUCAUUGCUCAAUUCCCACCUAUGGGAAUACAUUUUUAAAUCAUUUUUAAAGGUGUUAUUACAUUCUGAUUGAACAUUUUCAGAAAGAAUAAAUAAUUUAAUACAAGAAGUGGGCCACUUCAUGUAACAAAACAAACCACCACUACAGCAACAACAACAAAAAACACUAAUGAAUGUGACUUUAGCUUUGCAACAUCAUGACAGACUAGCAAGUUAAUGACAUUUGUUAUGCCAUAGAAAAUAUUUGUUGAAUUGCCACUCUAAUGACUUUAUAUCAGCCAACUCAUUAUCAACACUAGAAAAGAUGAUUAAAAAAUACUUCAGUACGUUCAUGUGUUGGCUUGUUAACAUUUUUAAGAGUCUAUAAGAGAAAAAUGCAUCCAAUCUCGGCAAAAAUAUUUUUCAAGUAUCUUGUAGGUACGUACAACUAACUACCUUGUGAACAAAAGUCACUAUAUAAUUAUAUAAUUUCUGACACUUAAAAAAGUUUAUUGUGCAAAAGAAGAUAUAUGUUCUAAUACCAAAUCCACAUAUAAAAUAAUUGACUUAUUUAAAUAAUUUAAGAUGCUCUUUUAUAUAUUUAUAUUAAAAACUUUACAGAGAAUAAAAAAGGCAUUAUACAGGCUGCUUAUGGUUUUUGAUGUUUGGAUAUACAAUACAUGUAUCAAAGAUUGUGGAAAUAAAUCAAGCAAUAUAUUCAAUUGGACUUAAUUGCAUUAUUACAUGCCAAGUGUCGUAUACCAUCUAUUUGCACAUAACACUUUUUAAUUUAGGUAAAAUUAUUAAUCAUAAAGCUAUAUGAAUUUAUUUUAUUCCAUGUUAUUUUAUUAUUCCAUGUUAUUAUUUAUGUAUUGUUAGGAACAUUUGCUUAAAAAUCAUAUUUGGACAUAGUAUCAGAUACUUUACAUCCUUCGAAUCAGUUAUUUUAUAACAGUAUAUACUAAACAUCAUUACUCCUUUUCAAACAUAAAUAACGCAAUACAAAUUGGACAAAAAAUUCAGGAAAGAUCUGGGAUCAAAAAGGAGGUAUUGAAACAUCACAUGUACUCCAUAAUUAUAUACAAAUAUUUUGUACCCAUAAUAUUUAAAAUACAGAAAAUUAAAAGGUACAUUUUCCUCAAAGUGCAUGCUUCUUUUGCUAUGCAAAACUGCAGGAUAUGGAAAGAAGUGUAUUAAAACACUAAAUCACUUUAUGUGGAAGAUAAAAGGGAUGGUACCCAAUGUACAACUUCAUGUAGUGCACUGAUAUAUUCAAUAUAAAUGAUGUAUUAACUUCAAGAUAACAUGAGAAAGUUAAAUUAUCUAACUUAUUUCAAACUAGGGGAUAGUAUGUUCUCAUUAUUAGAAGCCAGAAUUCUGCUUAUCCAUUUCUAUUAUUAGAAAAAAACAUAAUUUUUAUUCUUGUCUUAGAAAUAGACACCUUGAUAUAAUUCUCUGUAAAUGUAGCAUGAUAGUCUGUUUACAGAGUUUAUAUCAUUCCAAGACUGCACUUCUAAAGUGAGAAAAUAUUAAAGGAUAUAAACUCACUCCUCUCUACAAAAUUCCUUAUUUUUUAUGCAAUGGCUUUAAAAUGUAUGGAAGGGGAGUUAUGGAAACAAUCCAUACCUGGAAAGCAUUCUAUCCAUGCCUUUGAAAUGGUUAUCUAGUACUAGAUUCUUAUCGGUGCCUAGCUAUGUAAUGUGUGUAGCUUAAGAUUUUUAAGAAAGAAGGAUAAAAUGCUCAAUAUAAAUUUAAAAAGCACUUUUAUUGGAAUAUUGAGUCAUGUAUUUGCUUUCUGUAAGUCCUUUUAUCUAUAAAAUAAUAGUUGAGAAAGGCAAAUAGAAUAUGUGGAGGAAUUAAAAAUUCAGUUGUAGGGUGGUAAAUGAAAACCAAAUUUUUCAUUCACCACAUUAAAUGUAAAUGGGUAUUAUACUCAAUUUAAGCAGCAAAGUUGCUCCUUUUUUUUUUUUUUUUUUUUUGAGACAGAGUCUCACACUGUCACCUGGGCUGGAGUACAAUGUUAUCAUCUCGCUUCACUGCAACCCCUGCCUGCUGGGUUCAAGCCAUUCUCCUGCCGCAGCCUCCCAUGUAGCUUCUUAAGAUGUGAAGAUUUUUAAAUUAAGAUGACUCUUGGGAUGAACCAUUUGGUGUUGGUUAAAGACUUUUACUGACAUAUUUUUAAUAAUUUUUUUAACUUUUAUUUUCAGGUCAAUGGCACAUGCGUAGGUUUGUUAUGUAGGUAAACUAGUGUCACAGGGAUUUGUUGUGCAGAUUAUUUCACCACCCAGCUAUUAAGCCUAGUACCCAUUAAUUGUUUUUCCUGAUCUUCUGCUUCCUCCCACCAUCCACCCUCCCAGAGGCCCCAGUGUCUGUUGUUUCCCUCUAUGUGUUCAUGUGUUCUCAUAAUUUAGCUCCCAUUUGUAAAUGAGAACAUGCAGUAUUUGGUUUUCUGUUCCUGCCUUAGUUUGUUAAGGAUAAAGACCUCCAUCCAGCUCCAUCCAUGUUCCUGCAAAGGACUUGAUCUCACUCUCUUUUAUGGCUGCCUAACAUUCCAUGGUGUAUAUGAACCACAAAAUAAAGAUGGUUCUUAACUUUUAAAUUAAGAUUUUUAAAUUAAGAUGAAUCUUGAUUUUUAAAUUAGUAUGGUUUUAAGAUAGUUUUACAGAUAGAUUAGAUAAUCUAUCUAGAGAUAGAUAGGGAGAGAUAUCUAUCAAUACAUAUCUCUAUCUAGAUAUAGAUAGAUGGUUUUCUAUAUAGACCUAUCUAUCUAUAUAUGUAUACAUCUAUAUAUGUCUACACAUAUCUCUAUACACAUAUAUAUAUUUAUAUCUACAUCUGUAUUUCUACAUGUAUAUAGGUAUGUAUAUAUCUACAUGUAUAUAUGUAUAUAGAUAGAUAUAUACAUAGGUAUCUGUAUAUAUGCAUAUACAUGCCUAUCUAUCUUUAUCUACAUGUAUUACAUAGAUAGGGUAAUUACUGAUAAAUCCUUUGGUCUUCUUUGUAAAUCUCUGGGCUAAAGACCCCUCCAGUAUUAUACGUGUUCUGGUCUAGAUUGCUCACUCACCGGUUCUCCUCACUAUCUAGAGAAGAUCCACUUAGCAGGCCUCCCCUUAAAGAAGGGCACCUUAACUGGACUCACUCCUCCCAUAGUAGACUGCACAGUACACAAGCAGAAGAGGAGAGCUCAGUAAUAAAGUCACCAUAAAGGAUAAUUUUUAAAUGAAUAAAGACAUCAGAAAAUCCAGUAUUGGCUAGCACAUAUGGCUAUCAGCAAGCUCACCCUACAAAAAAAUAGUGAGAAAACAGUUCGAAUAUUGGCCGUUUGGGGCACAUAUUCUACAAAAAGGAAAAGUUUUGAAAUGUAUAUAUAUUUAAUUUAACUCUUUAAAAUAUUUGUAGGCAAGCCCAGUGGCUCACACCUAUAAUUUCAGAACUUUGGGAGGCCAGGGCAGGAGGAUUGCUUGAGGCCAGGAGACCAGCCUGGGCAACAUGGCAAGACCCCAUAUCUACAGAUGGUUUUAAAAAAUUAGCCAGGUAUAACACGAUGAAACCCCGUCUCUACUAAAAAUAUAAAAAUUAGCCGGGCAUGGUGGUGGGCGCUUGUAGUCCCAGCUACUCGGGAGGCUGAGGCAGGAGAAUGGCAUGAACCCGGGAGGCGGAGCUUGCAGUGAGCCAAGAUCAUGCCACUGCACUCCAGCCUGGGCAACAGAGCGGAGACUCCAUCUCAAAAAAAAAAAAAAAAAAAAUUAGCCAGGUAUGGUGGCACACACUUGUGGUCCCGUCUACUUAGGAGGUUGGGGCAGGAGAAUUGCUUGAGCCCAGGAGUUUGAGGCUGCAGUGAGCUAUGAUCAUGCCACUGCACUCUAGCCUGGGUGAUAGAACAAGACCCUGUCUCUUAAAAAAAAAAAAUGUAUUAUGCACCAGGUACAAUGUGCUAGGUACUGGGGAGAGAUCUUAAAAAAAUGUAUUAUACACCAGGUACAAUGUGCUAGGUGCUGGGGAGAGAUCAGGGGAUAAAGCAGAGCAAAAUUUCUGUCCUCAUGGAGCUUGUGGUCUAAAGGAGGAAAAAAGGCAAUAAACAAAUUAAAAAAGAGGAAUACAAAGUAUGUGGGUAGGGAUGAGUACAACAGAGGAAAAUCAAGCAGGAAAGAUAGAACUCUGGAAAGAAGUAGGGCCAGUGUCAAAUAGGAUGGCCAGGGAAUGCCACACUGAGAAGGUGACACCAAAGCAAAGACCUACAGGAGGUGAAGUGGUGAGCCAUUCAGGUCACUAAAGGAGGCAUGUUCCCAGGAGAGGGGACGACAAUGCAAAGGCAAGAAGGAGCACCAGCCUGUGUGUUGAGAAAAGCAUGGGGACCCAAGCAGCUAAAGUGGAACACAUGUAAGAAGAAUAACCGUAAUGAGGUCUGAGAGACAACUGGGUGGGAAGUGUCUUAAUCUGUUUGUGUUACUAUAAAGGAAUAUCUGAGUCUGGGUGAUUUAUAAAGAAAAGGAGGUUUGUUUAGGUCACAAUUCUAUAGGCUGUACAAAAAUCAGCACCAGUAUCUACAUCAGGUAAAGGCUGGAGGUUGCUUCCACUCAUGGCAAAAGGGGAAGAGGAGCCAGUGUGUGCAGAAAUCACAGGGUGAGAGAGGAAGCAAGAGAGAGAGGGAAGCACCGGGCUCUUUUAAAAAACCAGCUCUUGGGAAAACUAAUAGAGAACUCACUCACUACUCUCACCAUGGCAGGGCAUUAAUCUAUUUAUGAGGGAUCCAUCCUUAUGAUCCAAACACCUCCCACUAAACCCGACUUCCAACACUGGGGAUCAGAUUUCAACAUGAGAUUUGAAGCGGACAAAUAUCUAAACUACAGCAAAGAGUACAGAUCGGGAGGCAUGGCAAGCUCUGCUGGUCACUCCAGUGGGGUCAACAUUUCAAGAAUGUUACAAGCAGCUGGGCUUGGUGGCUCAUGCCUAUAAUCCCAGCACUUUAAAAGGCUGAAGUAGAAGGAUCACUUGAGGCCAGGAAUUCAAGACCAGCCUGGGCAACAUAAAGAGACCCUGUCUCUACCAAAAAUUAAAAAAAAAAAAAAAAAAAAAAAAAAAAAAGCCAGGCAUGGCAGUGAGCACCUGUUGUCCUAGGUUCUCAGGAGCCUGAGGCGGGAAGAUUACUUGAGCCCAGGGGGUCGAGGCUGCAGUGGGCCACAACUGCCCCACUGCACUACAGCCUGAACAACAAAGUGAGAUCCUGUCUCUUAAAAAAAUUAAGAAAGAAAGAAAAGAAAACAGUAUUACAACCAGUUUUCUAGCAGCACAUAGGGGAAGAGUCUGUUGUCCUCCCAGAUCUCUGGCCAAGGCCCUGGCAGAGGCAAGAAUUACAAAGACCCUAACCUGUUGUUUCCUAGCUCCCCAGAGACACUAGGGAAAGCUAUCUCAAGGGCAAACACAUGUUGACUGGUCUCAAGGAGUAAGGGGUUAUUGUUCCCUCCCCUGGAGAGAGUGCAAUCAAGGGGAGUUGGACAACCCAUCUUUGCUCUACUUGCUGCUUCCUUUUUUCACCAACUUUAAGUCCUUUGGGUUCUGUAUAACCAGAUCCCUGCUUCCUCUAGCCGAAAUUGGUUUCAUUUUGACCAGAGACUGGUUACAACACACCUUUCUACCACCACCUCUAUUAGAAGAUUUAACUCUUUGUUUCUCUAAUAAUCUCUUUUCAUACUUAAUUGUGAGCCCCUUAAGAGACACAUCUUACUACUUAUUGUGUUUUCUGUGCCUAAGUAUUCUGUGUAAUACUUACAACUUACUGCAUCUUCUGAUGCAAAAAAAAAGUUUAAAAGGAAAUGGAUUGUCAUCUGCUGAAUCAGGCUAAGGGUAGGUCCUGGAAGAUACUCCUUCCAAACCUUAUAAUCAGAGGUGACUGCACAGUUGGCUUACAAGAGCCUCUUUUCAAAGUAAUUGGGGAUGCAGUGCUUAGAACUGGGCUGGCACUGUAAUUUUUUUAGGAAUCUGCUCCCAUUUACAAGACGUUCCAUCAUAAAAAUCAAAUCAUAAAAUCAAAUCCAAGUAUGUUCAUUUGGUAUAUUCAUUUUCCACUUCUUACUAGGGGUGGUGGGGGAGGAGAAGCUGGUACAGGAGAAAUGUCUUUUAUUUCCCCUCUAUAACAAUGGUAUAAUUCCAAAUCUUAUAGACCAUCACACAGUUCUGUUAGUUGAUUGUUUUCCAUGGAUUCUACCCUGCCAGGAGACACAAUAAAUAACUUUUUGAAACUUCAUUCUUCAGUCCUGGGAGUUUUUACAAAUAAAAGGACACACAUGUUGAGACAAAUUACAUGCUUGAAAAUCUGUCACUAACAUCAAUUUCAUGUUAAAAAGUACGAAGCAGCUGUUACAGUGGCAUUUCUUUUGUUGUUGGGGAAAAUAAUGUGUGAAUAGCUAUGCUAAUUCAGAGGUAAUUUUCAAAUUUCAUGACUAAAUAAAAAAGCUAAGAGUAGUUCACUAGGUAAUUAAUGUUUGGGAGGGAGUUGUUGGUUUUGUUGAUUUAUUAUAUCUUGACAGACUGGUAUGAUUGAAAUGAAUUAAAUGUUAGACGUGCUUAACAUUUUAUAUGCUAUAUAUCAUAAUAGCAAAGUGCACAGAUCACAUUAUUGAGUGCCUUUGGAUUUUAAAAAUAAAGAUUGCUAUUCAGAUGAAUACCAUUUCAUUAUUGCCUGCACUACUCUGUCAAAUUAAAAAAUAUAAUAGCUAUCUUUAUUCUCAUUUUAAAGCAUGAUAAUCAUCAAAAUGUUGAAGUUUAUCACAGUUCUACAUUAAAAAUAAGUCAUUUUUGUAGGUGAGUUAUCCAAUACAGCAAAGGCCAUCAAAGAGAAAGCCAAUACUUUCAUGGAGAGCUCAGAGCCUUAAUAGAUCCCAGCAGCAAUGCUUCAACCAUUCCCAACUCCAUGUUCCUUGCUAGAUGCUCCUCACCCCAAACUCCUGCAAAUUUCAAGAAUUUCUGUGUAUGUGUGUGUUAAGGGAGGAGUUUUAAAGUAUCUCUGUAUUCAACAAGAUACGUCAGCUUGUAAGCAGCAGAAACCUACUUAAACUAGCUUACAUGAGAAAAUAACAUUAUAAAGACAUAGGAGUGUUUCUACACCAAGAACUGGAGGUAUUGUUUGGUUUCAUGAAGGAUUAAAAUCUGUAAUUCAAAAGUAGACUCAGGCAGCUGCACAUCAAUCUGUGUCUUUUCUCUGGUACUGUGGACUCUAUCCUGUCUGACUUGCUUUGUUCCUGGGCAUCAUUCUUGCUCUGGAAAACACACUUUCCCUGCUCAUUUUUUUAUUUUAAUGCUUAGGUUCAAUCUGCUCAUUUUUCCCUACAGCAGAAGACAGCUUACUGUGUUCCAGCAAACAACAGAGCCUGACCAGCCUCUCUGAAUAUGGGGCCCCAUUCUCACUCACAAGUAUUCUUAACCUGGGGUCCAUGUGGGGUUUGUGAAUUUGGAUAGGAUUUUAAAAUUACAUUUUCAUUUCCACUAAUCUCUAACCGAAAUUCAGUCUUUUCUUCAACUGUGAAUGUAGGCAGCAAGCCACAGUGGAACUUGCAGAACCUAUAAAUUUGUCACUGUGAUUGAUGUUAUAAUGUUACACCUAGAUCUUCUUUCAGAAAUGAGGACUUACCCCAGCUACUAUGAAAGCUGUUGGCAGAGUGCCCUCAGCUGGCAGCCCCAGGGAAAUGGCCUCAGUUGCAGAGAGCCACCUCAGCUGGGUAAUAAACACCUGGCCCUCUUUGAUUCAGGGCACUUCUGAAGGGUCAUAUAAUCUUCAGACCUUCUGUAAGGUUGGCUGAAGCUUCCUCUCAGACUUCAUCACAGCUCAAUGUCAUCCUUCUCUGACCAGUUCCACCUUGCCUUCCCUCAUGUUGAUGUCAAGAGCGUUCCCUAGCAAACUCCCCAAAUGCCAAUCUCCAGCUUAGAUUCUGCUUUCUGGGGAAACUGAACUGUGACAGUUACUAAUACAAAGAAUCAAUAUUUUUAUGUCACAUUAUACUUAGAUAGCUUGAAAUAUAUAUGCAUCUAGUUACUUAAUACAUUAUUAAAAAACUUUUUACUAUAUCGAAAAUUACUUUUUAAACAUUUUAGUAACUGUAUUUCAAGAUAAUUUUCUGUGUUAUCCUAUGCCUUUUAUUUUAUGCAUCUUAAAACAUCAUUCUGAGAAGGAGCCUAUAGGCUUUAUCACUGCCAAAGGAGUCCAUGGCAAAAAAAAAAAAAAAAAAAAAAAAAAGUUGGAGGAGUCAAGAACCCCUGGGAACUAUCUCAGGAGAUCUUGGUUUUUUGCAGGGCUUUCAGCACCAUCCAUUUUCCAGCGGCUCCUUAAUCGAUGUCACUCCUUCCCCAUUGCUCCAGUGCUACUCAGCUGAACUCACCAAUUGCUCUUAACUGAUCUUUUACGUCACCAUUCAUUGCUCCCAUCCAUUUUCCAUACAGACACCAGAAUGGUUUAAAUACAUAUACAUAUAUAUAUGCAGAGCAUGAUAGCUCAUGCCUGUAACCCCAGCACUUUGGGAGGCCAAGGAGGGAGAAUCACUUGGGGUCAGGAGUUCGAGGCCAGCCUGGUGAAACCCCCAUCUCUACUAAAAAUACAAAAAUUAACCAGGCAUGGUGGCAUGCACCUGUAAUUCCAGCUACUUGGGAGGCUGAGGCGUGAGAAUUGCUUGAACCCAGGAGGCAGAGGCUGCAGUGAGCUGAGAUCACACCAGUGCACUCCAGCCUGGGUGAUGGAGUGAGACUCUGUCUCAAAACAGAACAAAACAAAUAUAUAUGUGU
rnacentral:lncRNA from 1 species